rnacentral:lncRNA from 1 species
UGUCUCACCUGGGAAACACCAGAGGCCAGGGUUCUCUAGAAGGACAGAACUACUAGGACAGAUGUAUACAUGAAGGGGAGUUUAUUAAGGAGUAUUGACUCACAAGAUCACAAGGUGAAGUCCCGUAACAGACUGCCUGCAAGCUGAGAGCAAGGAAGCCAGUCCGAGUCCCAAAACCUCAAAAGUAGGGAAGCUGACAGUUCAGCCUUCAGUCUGUGGCCAAAGGCUAGAGAACCCAGGCAAACUACUGGUG